rnacentral:tRNA from 1 species
GGAUUGUGGCUCAGUGGAAGAGCACUUGCCUAGUACAUGUGAGGCACUGGAUUCUAUCCUUAGCACCACAUUUAAAAAAAUAAAUAAAUAAAAAUGAAAGUAUUAAAAAAAGAGUAUGGGCUCUGAUAGGCCUGGGUUCAAAUCUCAAGUCCA